GUCAUCAGCAAGCCGUCUCCACCCCCAGGGCUGGGAAACACAGAACCGUGCCCGGUAGGAGCUGGGAUCCCAGGAGAAGGGGCUGCCCGGAAAGGAGCUGGAAUCUCUGAGGAGGGCUGCUAUUGCAAAUCUGGUCCUCCAGCAUCCACCUGUUCUCUGCACCUUCAGUACCCUUCAAUAAAUCACACCAUUUCUUAAAAAUAAAGGUGGACCUCAUCUGAUCAGUUGAAGUCUUGAAUAGAAUAAAAAGACUGACCCUCCCACGAGUAAGAGGGAAUCUCGCCUGCCUACCUGCCUGCCUUCAAACUGGGACAUUGGUUUUUUCCUGCCUUUAGACUCAAACUGAUCAUUGGCUCUUUGUGGGAUUCACGCCUGGCAGCCUUUGGACUGGAAAUACACCAUCAGCUCUCCGGGUCUCCAGCUUGCCAGCCCACCCUGCAGAUCGUGGGACUUGUCGGCCUCCACAAUCAUGUGAACUAAUUCCUUAUAAUAAGUCUCUUUCUGUAUAUAUAUAUAUUUUUUAUUGGUUCUCUUUCUCUCGGGGAUCUUGAUUAAUUCGGAAGGUGAAAGGUGCAUCCGUUGGGUCUACUGCUUUCUCUGGCCAGCACACUGUGGUAGGCAGAAUUCUCAAAACAGCCCCCGAGGUCCACACCCUAAUCCUGAGAACCUGUGAAUGGGCUGAGAUCCCACUCCUGUGAUGCUCUGGUGCUAUGUGGCUCACUGGAUCUUAAAAUAGAGAGAUUGUCCAGGUGUCCCUAAUCUUAUCACAUAAACCCGGCUAAAGGCAGAGAGUUUUCUCUGGUUGGAAGGGUAGUGGAAGUCAGAGGAUUAGUGUGAGAGGGAGUCUAGAUGAGGGGUCUUGCCACAGGCUGUGAUGCUGUGAUGGGGCCUGGAAGGAAGCCUCUGGAAGGAACUGUAGAUGGCCCAUAGAAGUUGAGAGUGACUCCUGGCCAACAGUCAGGAGACAAAGACCUCAGUCCUACAACUGCAAGGAACUGAAUUCUGCCAAACCUGAGUGAGCUUGGAAGCAGAUUUUCCACACAGCCUGCAGAGGAGCACCCAGCCUGCUGACAUCUUGACUUCUGCCUGGAGAGACCCUAAGCGGAGAACCCAGGAGGACCCACCUGGACUUUGGACCUAUAGGAUUGGGAUAAUAAGUGGGUAUUGUUUUAAGAGCCAGUGGUAAUUUGUUACACAGAGUAGAAAACUGAUGCACAUAGACAAAGAGAUGUGGCUUCCUAUGGCAGCACUAGCAGAGAUUUAGGGGUGAGUCAUUGGUGUCAAGAGGCAGGCUGUAGGACGUCUGUUUCAGCUGGUGUAGACCUAGCAGGUACAGUGACUCUGGAGCCAACAGUGCCAGUGGUGGCCUUCCUGUUUCCAGCUUUCCCAUUGUGGCAGAGGUUGGGGUUACUCUGGUAGGACAAUUCUACUGUGUUGCCCUUGGAUUCCAGGAGUGCCGUCUAGACUGUACUUAUCCAGCCCUUCUAAUGGUUUUGAGCACCCAAUUCCUCAUAUUAAAUCACUGCUUAAAUAUAAGAUACUCUGUUAUAUGCUACUGAACCUUGACUGUUAUAUCUUCAGAUCUCACCUACUUGUUAAAUACAAUCACAUCUGUCAGCUUAUUCAAAUCUCGGAAGCACUGACCACUUCUUACUUCCUGAAAAUCACUCUUCUUUUGUUUUUGAUGACAUCUCAUUCUCCUGGUUUCUCUUAUACAUUUCUUCUACUAAUUUUUACUCUUUUGUUCUGGCUCAUUUUCAUUCAACAAACAGGUGUUGAGCAUGUACCAGGUUGAAGACACUGUGUGUGCAAAGUGCAGGGACCCCAUCGAGAACUGAUCGUGGACCUUGCCCUCCAGGGACUUGUCCACAUGUAAACAAGUAACUUAGUGAGGCGAUACCAUCUAUAAUAGAGAUGGAUAAAAUGGACCCUGGAGAUCCAAAGAGGAAAACAUAUAACUCGGGGCGGUCAGGGAGCACAUCCCGAAGAUGAUGGUACUCUGGGUGAGUAUUCUAGAGUAGACAUGUUUCAGAUAGACAAAGUAAGGAAGGGCGCUCCAGUCUGAAGGAACAGAGAGGGCAAAGUCAUGGAAGUUUGAAAAUGUGACAUAUUAACGGAAUAAUGAGGAGUUUGCUGUGGCUGGAUUUCUGGGUGCAAAUGGGAGAUUGGUAGAGAAAUAAAGUCAGAAUUUGUAUAGAAAGUGACAUGUGGAUCAGAUCCUAGAAACAGAGUUUACUGGAGAUAGUUAUUAUACUAAAAUUCCUAACCUGUGAUGACUAUGUACUAUAUUCAAAUAAAGUCUGAACUCCUUUGUUUGGUUAAAA